UGGGUGCUAGUGCCUCUGCAGUAGGCAUCUAUCCUUCACAGAUAUUUUAGAAGGGCUAGCUGUAACUUGCCGAGAGCAAGUCUUUAGUGGAGUGUCUGUAGAAAGCUGCAAAAAUACAAAGGAGCCAUAAUCAUGUCAGCUUUGCACGAAGACAUGGAGGUGUAGGGAAUGAUCCUUUCUACUCUGUUCAAUUGCCCACUUUGUUACAGCAGUAAUGAGUGAGUCCUGCAAGGGGAAAUUCUUCAGCACACGGAUCAUUCUGGGAUAGAGAACUAUUGUGGCUGUAAGGUGUGCAUUACCUGACUGACCCCCAAAUUUCUGGGUGGAAGUGAUGAUGCACUGCAAGGCUUUUGCCACGCUGUUGUCUGGGGCUCCCAUGGCUGGUACAAGUGAGGAAUUGGCAGAAGAUACUACACUGUGGAUGAAAAAGAAAAAAAAAAAAGUGAUGUAUGUCAGGAGAAAUAAUUUCUGUGUUAAAUACUUGUUAAAUACUCACUAUUUUGCCAAGAUGCAAAAAUAAAUGUCAUUGCC